UGUUCUCUUCCACUUCCGUUAUCCUCUUCCAACCCCGGUCUGUGACCACAAAGCAGGCUACAGCCUUACUGAGAGGAAGAGGGAAAAAAGAGGCAGACAUGUGCCAGGAUCUUCAGUAAUCAGCAACCCGGUAGAACCAUAUUCUGCGCAUGGUGUACGAUUUAACCCAGAUGACCUCUAUUUUCUUGGUACUGACUCUUUCUUCCUGACUUAUUUCAAGACAAGAUGACACUGCAGCUUUUCUCAAGCUCCCUGCCUCGGCUCAAAGACUUACCAGUUCCACCACUGAUAAUGACAUAGUUACAGUUAAUGUUAUUACAUAAUCGCCUCUGUGUUCCCUACGCGUGUUCCAAAAAUAAGUCCUCAGAGGAGAAAUAUUU